UAGGGAAUCUUCGGCAAUGGACGAAAGUCUGACCGAGCAACGCCGCGUGAGUGAAGAAGGUUUUCGGAUCGUAAAACUCUGUUGUUAGAGAAGAACAAGGACGUUAGUAACUGAACGUCCCCUGACGGUAUCUAACCAGAAAGCCACGGCUAACUACGUGCCAGCAGCCGCGGUAAUACGUAGGUGGCAAGCGUUGUCCGGAUUUAUUGGGCGUAAAGCGAGCGCAGGCGGUUUCUUAAGUCUGAUGUGAAAGCCCCCGGCUCAACCGGGGAGGGUCAUUGGAAACUGGGAGACUUGGGUGCAGAAGAGGGGAGUGGAAUUCCAUGUGUAGCGGUGAAAUGCGUAGAUAUAUGGAGGAACACCAGUGGCGAGGGCGGCUCUCUGGUCUGUAACUGACGCUGAGGCUCGAAAGCGUGGGGAGCAAACAGG
rnacentral:rRNA from 1 species